AAAUUAUCAAGAGUGAACGAGAGAACUGGCUCUAUGACUUCACAGCAACCUCCAUUUGGAAAGGUGCUCCUACCAGCAAAGCGCAGUGCUUUGGCCGAUAAAGA
rnacentral:ncRNA from 2 species